AGCAGCCGCGGUAAUUCCAGCUCCAAUAGCGUAUAUUAAAGUUGUUGCAGUUAAAAAGCUCGUAGUUGAAUUUCGAGAUCAGUACGCUGGUCGUGCCUUCGGUAUGCACUGGUGUCACUGGUUUCUCCCUUCUGAAGAACCGUCAUGUCAUUAAGUUGGUGUGGCGGGGAAUCAGGACUGUUACUUUGAAAAAAUUAGAGUGUUUAAAGCAGGCUCGCGCUUGAAUACAUUAGCAUGGAAUAAUGAAAUAGGACGUUUGACCCUAUUUUGUUGGUUUCUAGGAUCGACGUAAUGAUUAAUAGGGAUAGUUGGGGGCAUUAGUAUUCAAUUGUCAGAGGUGAAAUUCUUGGAUUUAUUGAAGACUAACUACUGCGAAAGCAUUUGCCAAGGAUGUUUUCAUUAAUCAAGAACGAAAGUUAGGGGAUCGAAGACGAUCAGAUACCGUCGUAGUCUUAACCAUAAACUAUGCCGAUUAGGGAUCGGAUGAUGUUAAUUUUAUAAUGACUCU
rnacentral:rRNA from 1 species